ACCCACUCACUUUGUCUGGUUUCCUACAGAGCACCUGUGGAAUUUCUGGAAGUCAGAAACUAGAAGGUGGCAGCCUUGGGGUGAUAACUGAAGUGAAGCACAAGACUGUAAAAAAAUAAGCCAUUAAAAAAACUUCAGGAAAAGAAGAGCUAUAUGGAAUUAUGGGAUGGUGCCUUUUAUGAAGCCUUGUUUCUUCUGGGCCCUCAUCAAAAGAGCAAAAACCCUUGGCUGGUUUGGUAUUUUUCACAGAGAUCUAAAAGUGGAAAACAUUUUUGUUAAAAGCAGUGACAUCAAUGAAGUAAAUGAAGUGGAAUUAAACAUAAAGGUUUUCUAUCCUUUCAGUCAACUCACCACUUCCAUCAAUAGAAACCUCCAUGGCCAAGCUGUUCUUUUUUCAUGGCCUUGCUUUAUGUACCCAUUUGGAACAGCAACUAGCACACUCUGUCAUCUCUCCUGCAAGGUGCAAGUAUUUUUUCUAUGUUCCAUCCUGUGAAUGAGGUCAGAUUUUUCCUCACUUUGCUUGUUGCUCUCAUUUUAGAGGAGAAUAACUCCUGAGUGACUUUAAUGGGAGAAGUGGAAAACACAGAACCAAGUCCCAAAGCUGUUGUGGCCAGCAGCAAUAAAGUGACUACAGGAAAGGAGAGGUCCAUCACACAAUGUGAGAUUAAAAAACAAAACAAAACAGCUAAAACCAACAUGCAAGUGCUUUAGACUUUCAGGCUUGAGACAGCUAAUGUUACAUGUCAGGCUAAGGUUCACACUCUCCUAUUUUUGGCUGUGAGAAAGUCUUCCUGGAUCUUUAUGAUUUUCUGGUUUUGGGCAGGAUAUGCAGACAGAAUGGUGGGACAAAUGCAGACAUGGCUUGCUCCUGGUGACAGAGGUUCUUCCAUAUGGCACACGAGUACGUGGCACAGGUGCAUACUGGCAUGGGGCUGAGAUGAAAUUUUGUUAAUAUGUAUAGAAAGACCUUUUUCCAGCCACCUCUCAGUAUCAGAACAUUCCUUCCUCAACUCACAGAUACUGAUAUCUUCAGAUGUAUGUAUUGUCUCACAGACUUUGAUAUGAAAAGUAAAACAUAUAAAAGUAUGCUGAAGAAUAUGACUUCUCCAUGUAUUACACUUGAAUAAGGCUUUACAAACAGGAUAAAACACUAUCUUGUUAAAAAAAACAAACAAACAGGAUUGUUUUCAACCCUUUGAAAUGUCCUCUAAAUGGACAGUUGAUGAGUAGUACAUUUUUUGUAAGACUUCUUUUAAGUCUUUAAGACUUAAGACUUCUUUUAACUCUUUAUCACUCUGGUGGUAACCUCUCUCUGGUGACAUAGAUCUACUUUGUGACCUCUGAUGUGCUGCAGAAAAAUAUAAGAAUCUCCAGCUAUACAGUGGGAAUAAAUAAUAACCAAUUUUUUUUAGACAAUUUCCAUCCCAAAAAUGUGACUACCCCAGAAUAUGGGACUGAUUAAUAUUUGAUGGUGAAAUAGAAGUUGAAAAACCCUCAAUGCCACAAAAGCAGGGGAUUAUGAUGUAGCCUGCCCAAAGGACAUGCUUUUCAGGGCUUUUCCCUUGUUGAUUUAGGCAAUGAAAACUUUACAUUCCAAAACAUAAAGAUUUGUAACCUUUUCUGAUUUAUA